UUGAACGCUGGCGGCAGGCCUAACACAUGCAAGUCGAGCGGUAGCACAGAGAGCUUGCUCUCGGGUGACGAGCGGCGGACGGGUGAGUAAUGUCUGGGAAACUGCCUGAUGGAGGGGGAUAACUACUGGAAACGGUAGCUAAUACCGCAUAAUGUCGCAAGACCAAAGUGGGGGACCUUCGGGCCUCAUGCCAUCAGAUGUGCCCAGAUGGGAUUAGCUAGUAGGUGGGGUAACGGCUCACCUAGGCGACGAUCCCUAGCUGGUCUGAGAGGAUGACCAGCCACACUGGAACUGAGACACGGUCCAGACUCCUACGGGAGGCAGCAGUGGGGAAUAUUGCACAAUGGGCGCAAGCCUGAUGCAGCCAUGCCGCGUGUGUGAAGAAGGCCUUCGGGUUGUAAAGCACUUUCAGCGGGGAGGAAGGCGAUAAGGUUAAUAACCUUGUCGAUUGACGUUACCCGCAGAAGAAGCACCGGCUAACUCCGUGCCAGCAGCCGCGGUAAUACGGAGGGUGCAAGCGUUAAUCGGAAUUACUGGGCGUAAAGCGCACGCAGGCGGUCUGUCAAGUCGGAUGUGAAAUCCCCGGGCUCAACCUGGGAACUGCAUUCGAAACUGGCAGGCUAGAGUCUUGUAGAGGGGGGUAGAAUUCCAGGUGUAGCGGUGAAAUGCGUAGAGAUCUGGAGGAAUACCGGUGGCGAAGGCGGCCCCCUGGACAAAGACUGACGCUCAGGUGCGAAAGCGUGGGGAGCAAACAGGAUUAGAUACCCUGGUAGUCCACGCCGUAAACGAUGUCGAUUUGGAGGUUGUGCCCUUGAGGCGUGGCUUCCGGAGCUAACGCGUUAAAUCGACCGCCUGGGGAGUACGGCCGCAAGGUUAAAACUCAAAUGAAUUGACGGGGGCCCGCACAAGCGGUGGAGCAUGUGGUUUAAUUCGACGCAACGCGAAGAACCUUACCUGGUCUUGACAUCCACAGAACUUUCCAGAGAUGGAUUGGUGCCUUCGGGAACUGUGAGACAGGUGCUGCAUGGCUGUCGUCAGCUCGUGUUGUGAAAUGUUGGGUUAAGUCCCGCAACGAGCGCAACCCUUAUCCUUUGUUGCCAGCGGUUAGGCCGGGAACUCAAAGGAGACUGCCAGUGAUAAACUGGAGGAAGGUGGGGAUGACGUCAAGUCAUCAUGGCCCUUACGACCAGGGCUACACACGUGCUACAAUGGCAUAUACAAAGAGAAGCGACCUCGCGAGAGCAAGCGGACCUCAUAAAGUAUGUCGUAGUCCGGAUUGGAGUCUGCAACUCGACUCCAUGAAGUCGGAAUCGCUAGUAAUCGUAGAUCAGAAUGCUACGGUGAAUACGUUCCCGGGCCUUGUACACACCGCCCGUCACACCAUGGGAGUGGGUUGCAAAAGAAGUAGGUAGCUUAACCUUCGGGAGGGCGCUUACCACUUUGUGAUUCAUGACUGGGGUG
rnacentral:rRNA from 1 species